rnacentral:sRNA from 1 species
GAGUGAUCUGGCUGUGACAUCUGUUACCUCAUUGUUUACCAGGGAUGGUUUGGCUGAUCUGGCUGGCCAGGUGAGUGUCCCUUUCCUCCUCACUGCUUCCUGUGCAUCCCCCUGAAGCUGCAUGCUAGAUCAAAGAGGACCCCCCCCCACCAACAGAGAACUAUUUCCUUGGCCAAGGGUAUAGGAGUAGCUGUAUUUCCCCGCUAGACGCUCCAAACAAUCACAUCAAUAAUUAUGAUCAUAUUGCCAUUAAGAAUUUGUUGGUAU